AGGGCACCACCAGGAGUGGAGCCUGCGGCUUAAUUUGACUCAACACGGGAAAACUCACCCGGCCCGGACACCGUAAGGAUUGACAGAUUGAGAGCUCUUUCUUGAUUCGGUGGUUGGUGGUGCAUGGCCGUUCUUAGUUGGUGGAGCGAUUUGUCUGGUUUAUUCCGAUAACGAGCGAGACUCUAGCCUACUAAAUAGUGACCGGAUAGCUUGGUCCGGGUCACUUCUUAGAGGGACAAGCGGUGUUCAGCCGCAAUAAGUUGAGCAAUAACAGGCCUGUGAUGCCCUUAGAUGUCCGGGGCUGCACGCGCGCUACACUGGAGGAAUCAGCGUGCUUGACCCAUUGCCGAAAGGCAUUGGUAAACCCUUGAAAAUCCUCCGUGAUCGGGAUCGGGAAUUGCAAUUAUUUCCCUUGAACGAGGAAUUCCCAGUAAGUGUGAGUCAUCAGCUCACGUUGAUUACGUCCCUGCCCUUUGUACACACCGCCCGUCGCUGCCCGGGACUGAGCCGUUUCGAGAA
rnacentral:rRNA from 1 species